ensembl:lncRNA
AACCUUGACUUUAUACUGUACCUGUUUAUACUGUACCUCCGGGUGGCAGUAUGCACCCUUUCAGUUUGUUUACCAACUCAUAGAAGUAGUAAAAUAAGAAAAUGGACUACUUCAAAAUGGAGAUGGCCUCAAUGGCACUGCCCGUGCUCUCACAGAUGCUAUGAGAUACAAUGAUGCAAUGUCCAUCUAAGUCUAUUGGUCCUCAUAAGACUACACAAGUUCUUUCCUAAUGGGGCUGAAGUCAGAUAAGACUGGGUACAAGGGGCCCAUUGAUUGCUAUGGAAUCCCGGCAUUCUCCAUCAUGGCUCAGUAUGAGCCUUCGCUUUGGCUCCCCCUCCUGUUCAGCUCAGGCAUUUGGAGUCGUCGGCCUACUAGCUGCCGAACCAGCUGCUAGCAAACGCCCUAAACUCAUCAACCCUGGACUUGUCUCAUCAUCAUUACACACACCUGGCUCCAAUCCCCACUCUAUCACUCUAUAUAUACUCCCUUUGUCAUUUGUCUUUGUCUGUCAUUGUUGUUUGUUUU